GGCCAAUGGUGGCGCGAGCUGUUCUGAGGGAAAAGGGAUUGAGGGCGAAUGUGGGCGAAAGGCGCGGCGGGGGGGGGAGGGGAGGAAGCGGAUUCCUGAGGGAAACGUGAUUCCUGCGAUAUAGCCUCUGUUCGUGAUAUUGAGGGCUUUUAAUUAUUUUAAUUUAUUUAAAUGGACGACGGCUUCUCCAAUGGCUUCAAGGGAAAGGGCUUCCUGACGUUCCUCCUGCCGUUACCUUUACGACAACCCUGUGAGGGAGGCCAGCCGUCGCCCACGGGUCGAGUCGGAGCUGUCUGUCUACGGGCUGUAAAAGGCUACAUGCAUGUCGUUGAAUCUUGGGAGUGAAAAAUAGGCCAAAAAAGGGAACACUUCAUUGCAGAAAAAAAAAAUGAAGAAGCGCAAAGGUGAACACUUGGUGGAAAAAAAAUGUGCAAAAAGGAACACUUCAUUGCAAAAAAAUGCGAAAAGUGAAAAGUUGUUGCAAAAAAUGGUGCUAAAAAGAACACUGCAUUAAAAAAAGAUUUAAAAACACUCCGUUGUAAAAAAAAAGUGGUUCAAAAAAGGAACACCUUGCGACAAGGAGAUGAUGCAAAAAGUGAAUAGUUUGUUGGGGGAAAUGGUGUAAAUAUGAACACUUCAUUGCCAAAGAAAUGCAAAAAGUGAACAUUGGUGCAAAAAAGGAGCAUUGAGUUGCAAAAUAUGUCACAAAAGUGAACACUUCAUUACACCUAUUUUCCAGAUAAGCUGGUCUUUGAAUUCUUGAAGAAGUAAUUAGGAGACCUGUCCCUACAGUGCUCAUGGAAACCUUCACAACAUUUCUUAAGGUUGCUGAGUUUGCCACUAAACAACUUACUGACAUAUUUCUCCUGGAGUGUGCAAUAGGAAAGAUGACUUCACAGGUUUUGAACUUUUCUGAGGCUGCACAUUCAAGCAUGAUUUUACAAUGUGAGUAUUUAAUGGCUGUGAAGGUGUGGUAGGGAGACGCGGAGUGGGGCAAUGGAAGCCUGUAUCUUUGGGAAAACUAUAUCUGAUGCUUAGGGGGUCUGAGAACGCUCAUGCAAACACUUAAGUG
rnacentral:lncRNA from 1 species